AGGCUGGAACGCGACUACAAAUACGCCCGAGUAAAGUCAGAAGCUUGAGAGCGGCAGUCGAUGUGGAGGGAUUAGGAGGUGGCGGCAGCGGCAGGAGCUCCAGCAAACACGUCCAACCGCUUCCCCCUCCACUGUACGACUAUUCCACCCGCCGCCGGCCCCAAUAUGGCGUCAAUAACAACGCCGCCGAUUCAAAUUCUGCGGCCUCAGGGCGCGUGCGCAUAGGGGGUGGACACCCCCGCAGGUGCGUUCUAGGAGUUGUAGUUUUUCACUGUGGAAGGGAAUAGGCGUGAAAAGCGAUUACGGAGGAGUCACGAAAACUACGACUCCCGUCAGUCAAGGCGCGCCAUUCCGAGUUCCGGGUUGGAAUUUAAAUCCCCUACGCAGCCUGAGUGUAAAAGGAACUAAGCAAAAGAGGAAAAAAAGAAAAGACUGUGUGAGAGACUGGGAGAGAGGAAAGCCAACUGGUGCUUAAAAGAUCUUUACAAUUCAGGACAUAGUUGUUCUGAUACCAUCCCUACAAUGAUUUAACAAACGGGAAAUAGAAAACUUAGCCAACCCAGCUUCCAGACAGAUUAAUUUCUGUAGUAAGAGUGGCAAAACCAAAACCUGUCAUAAUGAGAGGCUAGGAAAUAAUAUUAUGGAAUCUAUUUAGGACAGCAAGGGACAACAACAGUAAUAGUAUCAGAUUACAGGAUCCUUGAUUGAACUGGAUGCUUUGCCUUCCCAGAGAGGGAGAGAAACGGAGCAUGAGCAGAGAGGGGUGGAGAGAGAGACAACAGAAUCCAAAGCAGGCUCCAGGCUCCAACCUGUCAGCACAGAACCCAACGUGGGGCUCGAACUCAGGUCAGAAGAUCAUGACCUGAGCUGAAGUCGGACCCUUAACCUAGUGAGCCACCCAGGUGCACCAUUACUGAAUGUUUCUUAAAUAAACAUUUUUUAAUCACCCUGUCCUCCCAAUA